rnacentral:misc_RNA from 1 species
UUUGGUUUGUUACGUGUGGUUGGCUGCGGCGUUUGCAACAACUUCCAUGCUUUCAGACCUCUUCAGUUGUGCGGCAAGGCUUGUAUCGCCUUGAGCGUACUGUGGGUUUUCUGUGUUGGCUACCUAAUCAACGGUAUCGGUUGGAUWGAUCAAAGUUUGAUUUCGUCUUCCGUCGCAUUCGCGGCGUGAGGUGAACCUCGAUGCGGUCUCUUUGAUCCACCUCGUUGAAGCACAUGCUUCGGCGUUGUGGCACAUUGAGCAUUGCUUGGUCUCUUGUAUACGGAACAUAUAGUGGGCAUGGAUCUAACGAUUCUCGUUUGCCCUCAUAUUAGCGUAACGCUUCUCUAACACGACUCGCNCCACGUUUUAG